UCUCUUUGUGCUCUCUUUCUCUCUCCGUUUCUCUCUCUUCUCUCUCUGUUUUCUCGGUUUCCCUCUAUGCUCGUCAGGGUUCGAUCUCCUCAUGCGAUUGAAGUUUGGCAGACUCUCUCUCUGUUCUCUCGGUCAGACAGGGCUGUGGUGGUUAGGGUUUCGUGAUCUCGUCGUGCGAUUGUGAGAUUGUUGGUUGGAGCUCAUCAUAUCAAGAUUAUCGCCUCUUUUCUUUAGAAUGCGUGAGCAUAUGUAAGUUGCCGAAGGGGGAUGGGAGUGGGAAAUACGACUGCAACAUUCUGUUGUGUGCGUGGAAAGCUUUGAGGGUCCUGACUGGGUUCCUCGCGAGCACGGCCCGUUUUCCUCAAUACUCUUCUCUCUUGUCGAAUGUGCGAAAUGGAAGAAGAACAAGAACCAAUUUCUUAAGUUCUCUGAAUUGCCCACAAAAGGAGUUUCAUAUUUGAAUUUGAUUUAUUGCUGAGAAGACUCUUCGUUGGAUCAGGAUUUAUCCCAACUGUCUUCUCCCCUUCUCAGGAUGGUUUGAACAUGAAGGUUAAUGGGCUUUCCGUUUUGCAAUCAAUGGACAAUGAUAAAGAUGCAGAUGGAAAAUACACCAAACUGAUUGCGUCCGCAUUCAACUGCCCAUACCGGAUCAUCGAUUGCGCAAUCUGACGCUGGAAACUAUAGCAUAACAAAAGUUAUUGAAGUUCUAGAUUCAUUACCAGGAUUACAGAUUGGUAGCGAGUUGUAUUUCUUUUCAGUCCACUUGUUGUUAGACAAAAAUAAGAGAGGCAUUUAUGGCUUUUAAGGAACUUAAGUUGAAGCUCAAUUGGCUUAAGUUUGAACAUGGGCUAGGAUCCUCCACUUAGAUUUUCAUUCCGCAUUUCUUUUUAGUGCGGUUUUCUUGUUGUAUUGAUGGUUGAGACUUUGUUAUUCUCUUUCAUUAUGGUCUUCUUGUUGUAUUCAUGUUGGACCUUAUAAAGGAGAACGAUACCAUUUAUCACAAUUUCGAAUGGGUCGUUGACCAACAGGCAGUAAAGAGGUAUUCAAUCAA